rnacentral:sRNA from 1 species
AUGCGAUACGCUUUCAGCGUAUCUCCUCCCUGAACCUUGGCCACCGCGUGCUCCGCACGCGGUGGUUUUUUUGUGUCCU